AGGUGGUUGCGGAUUGGCAAAAUUUGCCAAUCUGAGGAAAGUCCGGACUCCCGAAAGACCAAACUUGCUGGGUAACGCCCAGUGUGCGCAAGCGCGAGGAUAGUGCCACAGAAACAUACCGCCAAUUAGUCAUUUGUCAUUUGUCAUUUGUUUUUUACAAAGGACAAAGGACAAAAUUGGUAAGGGUGCAAAGGUGCGGUAAGAGCGCACCAGCAGCAUCGAGAGGUGCUGGCUCGGUAAACCCCGGUUGGGAGCAAGGUCGAAGGGACUACGGUUGGUCUUUUACCAGUCCCGCUGCGAGAGAACCGCUUGAGGUGUCUGGUAA
rnacentral:RNase_P_RNA from 1 species